CACGUAGGGGGCAAGCGUUGUCCGGAUUCAUUGGGCGUAAAGAGCUCGUAGGCGGUUCGAUAAGUCGGGUGUGAAACCUCCAGGCUCAACCUGGAGACGCCACCCGAUACUGCUUUGGCUAGAGUCCGGUAGGGGAGCAUGGAAUUCCUGGUGUAGCGGUGAAAUGCGCAGAUAUCAGGAGGAACACCAGUGGCGAAGGCGGUGCUCUGGGCCGGAACUGACGCUGAGGAGCGAAAGCGUGGGGAGCAAACAGG
rnacentral:rRNA from 1 species